rnacentral:rRNA from 1 species
GGUUCAGCCGGCUGUGCGCAUGCCCCUGCUGUCGUCGGGGCGGCGGGUCGGCCUUUGGUCGGCUUGUUUUCUCGAUGGCAGGAGGUCGUGCGGGCCGGCGCCGGAGGCUAAACUCUCCGACGCCGUGCUGGCCAAACCUCCACCAACUCGAACCGAGACUGAAGCAGAAAGGCUGCAGCCCCACGGCUCAGCCGCCAACCGAAGACAACUCUCAACAACGGAUAUCUUGGUUCCCGUAACGAUGAAGAACGCAGCGAAAUGCGAUACGUAGUGUGAAUUGCAGAUUAUGUGAACCAUCGAAUCUUUGAACGCAAAUUGCGCCCGAGGCUUCGACCAAAGGCAUGUCUGCUCAGCGUCGGCUUCACCCCUCCCCUCCCCUUCUCUUUUUGCGAAGAGAAAGGCGAGGGGGACCUGGUUGUCUCGGCCCUCACCGGCCGGGUCCGCCGAAGCACAGAGGCUCGAGCAGGACCCCGUUUACAAGGGCAACAGUCUGGUAGGCGACCUCCCCGGUCGCAUGCCGCUGGUGCCUGGGGCGCCUGCUGGUCGAGCCCGCAGGAAGUGGCUGCUUGCCACGCCUUCACCAUUCGACCUGAGUUCAGGCAAGAGCACCCGCUGAACUUAAGCAUAUCA